GGGCCUGUAGCUCAGUUGGUUAGAGCGCACGCUUGAUAAGCGUGAGGUCGAUGGUUCGACCCCAUCCAGGCCCACCA
rnacentral:tRNA from 1 species